UGGGGAAUAUUGGACAAUGGGCGAAAGCCUGAUCCAGCCAUGCCGCGUGUGUGAAGAAGGUCUUCGGAUUGUAAAGCACUUUAAGUUGGGAGGAAGGGCAGUAAGUUAAUACCUUGCUGUUUUGACGUUACCAACAGAAUAAGCACCGGCUAACUUCGUGCCAGCAGCCGCGGUAAUACGAAGGGUGCAAGCGUUAAUCGGAAUUACUGGGCGUAAAGCGCGCGUAGGUGGUUCAGCAAGUUGGAUGUGAAAUCCCCGGGCUCAACCUGGGAACUGCAUCCAAAACUACUGAGCUAGAGUACGGUAGAGGGUGGUGGAAUUUCCUGUGUAGCGGUGAAAUGCGUAGAUAUAGGAAGGAACACCAGUGGCGAAGGCGACCACCUGGACUGAUACUGACACUGAGGUGCGAAAGCGUGGGGAGCAAACAGGAUUAGGUACCCUGGUAGUCCACGCCGUAAACGAUGUCGACUAGCCGUUGGGAUCCUUGAGAUCUUAGUGGCGCAGCUAGCGCGAUAAGUCGACCGCCUGGGGAGUACGGCCGCAAGGUUA
rnacentral:rRNA from 1 species